AAUUGAUGAGAAAAAAAAACUAGAGGCUCUAAAGAGCCUGUGUCGCUCACCUUGGUCUAUGUGACUAUUAAACAAAAGAAGCAGAUGGAUUCAUGACAAAAUUGUAAUUUGGUGAUGUUGGUGUGUUUGUACAUCUUACUUUACUGAACAUCCUUGCUGCUUACAAUUAUCUCUAUCUAUAAUGAACUUGGCCCAGUAGUUUCAGUGGAAAAUGUUAGUAAAAAUUUACAAAUUUUAUAAAAAUUGUUGAAAAUUGACUAUAAAGGACAAUAACUCCUUAGGGGGUCAAUUGACCAUUUCGGGUCAUGUUGACUUAUUUGUAAAUCUUACUUUGCUGAACAUUAUUGCUGUUUACAGUUUAUCUCUAUCUAUAAUAAUAUUCAAGACAAUAACCAAAAACAGCAAAAUUUCCUUAAAAUUACCAAUUCAGGGGCAGCAACCCAACAACGGGUUGUCCGAUUCAUCUGAAAAUUUCGGGGCAGAUAGAUCUUGACCUGAUAAACAAUUUUAACCCAUGUCAGAUUUGCUCUAAACGCUUUGGUUUUUGAGUUAUAAGCCAAAAACUGCAUUUUACCCCUAUGUUCUAUUUUUAGCCAUGGCGGCCAUCUUGGUUGGAUGGCCGGGUCAUCGAACACAUUUUUUAAACUAGAUACCCCAAAGAUGAUUGUAGAUAAGUUUGGAUUAAUUUGGCCCAGUAGUUUCAGAGGAGAAGAUUUUUGUAAAAGAUUACUAAGAUUUACGAAAAAUGGUUAAAAAUUGACUAUAAAGGGCAAUAACUCCUUAGGGGGUCAACUGACCAUUUCGGUCAUGUUGACUUAUUUGUAAAUCUUACUUUGCUGAACAUAAUGGCUGUUUACAGUUUAUCUCUAUCUAUAAUAAUAUACAAGAUAAUAACCAAAAACAGCAAAAUUUCCUUAAAAUUACUAAUUCAGGGGCAGCAACCCAACAACAGGUUGUCAGAUUCAUCUGAAAAUUUCAGGGUAGAUAGAUCUUCACCUGAUAAACAAUUUUACCAAAUGUCAGAUUUGCUCUAAAUGCUUUGGUUUUUAAGUUAUAAGCAAAAAACUGCAUUUUACCCUUAUGUUCUAUUUUUAGCCGUGGCGGCCAUCUUGGUUGGUUGGCCGGGUCACCGGACACAUUUUUUAAACUAGAUACCCCAAAGAUAAUUGUGGCCAAGUUUGGAUAAAUUUGGCCCAGUAGUUUCAGAGGAGAAGAUUUUUGUAAAAGAUUACUAAGAUUUACGAAAAAUGGUUAAAAAUUGACUAUAAAGGGCAAUAACUCCUAUAUGGGUCAACUGACCAUUUCGGUCAUGUUGACUUAUUUGUAAAUCUUACUUUGCUGAACAUUAUUGCUGUUUACAGUUUAUCUCUAUCUAUAAUAAUAUUCAAGAUAAUAACCAUAUAACGGCAAAAUUUCCUUAAAAUUGCCAAUUCAGGGGCAGCAACCCAACAACGGGUUGUCCGAUUCGUCUGAAAAUUUCAGGGCAGAUAGAUCUUGACUUAAUAAACAAUUUAACCCCCAUGUCAGAUUUGCUCUAAAUGCUUCGGUUUCAGAGUUAUAAGCCAAAAACUGCAUUUGACCCCUAUGUUCUAUUUUUAGCCAUGGCGGCCAUCUUGGUUGGUUGGCCGGGUAACCGAACACAUUUUUUAAACUAGAUACCCCAAUGAUGAUUGUGGCCAAGUUUGGUUAAAUUUGGCCCAGUAGUUUCAGAGGAGAAGAUUUUUGUAAAAGUUAACGACGCCAGACGACGACGGACGACGGACGCCAAGUGCUGAGAAAAGCUCACUAGGCCCUUUGGGCCAGGUGAGCUAAAAAUAUU
rnacentral:lncRNA from 1 species